GGCUUUGUAGUGUAGUGGUUAUCACUCGGGAUUUUGAAUGUAAUUUCCCGAAACCCAGGUUCGAACCCUGGCAAGGCCU
rfam:Pisolithus microcarpus 441 unplaced genomic scaffold scaffold_109, whole genome shotgun sequence.